AGUAAGACCCCUUGUAGAUUACGAGGUUGAUAGGUCAGAGGUGGAAGUGCAGUAAUGUAUGAAGCUGACUGAUACUAAUAGGUCGAGGGCUUGAUCAAUAA
rnacentral:rRNA from 1 species